AAUGUGAAAAAAACACAAACUAUUAUUGAAAAUGUUUGCCCAAAAGGCGAUCAACAUACAAAUACAGUAGCUUGACGAUUUGUAUACCAAGGAAAAGUAACAAAAAAAAUCAGAAUGAGACAAUUACGCACUAACAUCAAAGAAAAUUGCUUUAAUUUCCACAUAGCCCCUCCUUUGUCGACGUGCCAUCAUCUUCUUCAAUCGCUGCUGGGCUGCUUUUCCGGUUGUAAGGUGCUAUAAAUGUGGGCAACGUCAUUUCCACUGGGCGAAUGCGAGUACAUACAUAUGUACAUACAUACGUAUAAAUAUCUAUAUAUGCUGGAAGGGCGAAAAAGCAAGCAAGCGGCGGACGGACCUACACUUGAAUGAGUCACACUCGUCAGUAUGAGGAAAAAAUGCAGUCGGCUAUGGCAUUGAGCAAUGAUGUGUGUGAAAUACUAAAAAAGAACGAAAAAUUACUCUUUGCAAAAUAUAAUUAACAAUUCAAGAUCGCCUAGUCAGGUUGGUGUUAUUAAAGAAAACACAAUCGGAAAAUAAAGAAAACCAUUCCCUUCAAUAUUACUGCACAACACAAAAAAAUACAAAGCUCUGACAAUGGAUUCGGCGUAGGAAAACAUGCGACGAAUAAGAUUUUUGGGUACAUAUUAAUCCUAUAACUCGUCAAUAGAAGGGCCUUUUUUGUCCCUAGUUUAUAAAAGGGCAAAAAAUACACAUACAUAAAACACGGGUAUAACAGAUCCAGGACUUUGCAGGCGAUCAGUUGGAAAUAAAAGUGAAGGAAACGCAAAUAUUUUUGACAGCUGAAGUCGGCUCACAGCAUUGCAUGAAAAUAGGCUGAAAUGCAGCCAGAACACAAAAGCUAGACGGAAAUAACAAAAUUCUUUAACGACGUCAGCAUCUUAUUGUCAAGAUAGUGGACCAAAUGACACCACAAGGGAAGUAUGGAUUACUCUAUACAUACAUUUGUGUUCAGAAAAUGUCCGAAAAGACAAAUUUUAUUAUACAGCCUUAAGAAUUAUGACUGGAAUGUUUUGCAACUCACAUGCCUGAAAGGACAACUAGAAAAUGGUGGGCUUAUCUGGCGAAAUGCUUAAGUUUGAUGACUGCAAUGAAUUCAAUAAUAUUUGUCGCAAUUUUUCAAAAGACGGACGUUGUUUGUUUCCCCUCCAUGAUCAAGAAGAGAGUAUGGCGGUUUGAACUGCGAUUUUGUAGUCCAGAGCGGUUGUGAAAGUGAAAUUCGUAUUAUGAGCAAUGCAAACGUGUCGAAAUUUUCGUUGAGUAUGGA